rnacentral:rRNA from 2 species
CGCGGCCUAUCAGCUUGUUGGUGGGGUAAUGGCCUACCAAGGCGACGACGGGUAGCCGGCCUGAGAGGGUGAUCGGCCACACUGGGACUGAGACACGGCCCAGACUCCUACGGGAGGCAGCAGUGGGGAAUAUUGCACAAUGGGCGAAAGCCUGAUGCAGCGACGCCGCGUGGGGGAUGACGGUCUUCGGAUUGUAAACCCCUUUCAGUAGGGACGAAGCGCAAGUGACGGUACCUGCAGAAGAAGCACCGGCUAACUACGUGCCAGCAGCCGCGGUAAUACGUAGGGUGCGAGCGUUGUCCGGAAUUACUGGGCGUAAAGAGCUCGUAGGCGGUUUGUCACGUCGUCUGUGAAAUCCCUCGGCUUAACCGGGGGCGUGCAGGCGAUACGGGCAGACUUGAGUACUACAGGGGAGACUGGAAUUCCUGGUGUAGCGGUGAAAUGCGCAGAUAUCAGGAGGAACACCGGUGGCGAAGGCGGGUCUCUGGGUAGUAACUGACGCUGAGGAGCGAAAGCAUGGGUAGCGAACAGGAUUAGAUACCCUGGUAGUCCAUGCCGUAAACGGUGGGCGCUAGGUGUGGGGUCCUUCCACGGACUCCGUGCCGUAGCUAACGCAUUAAGCGCCCCGCCUGGGGAGUACGG